rnacentral:rRNA from 1 species
UCCGGGGGGAGCAAGCGUUGUUCGGAUUUACUGGGCGUAAAGGGCGCGUAGGCGGUCGUGACAGGUCACUUGUGAAAUCUCCGGGCUUAACUCGGAACGGUCAAGUGAUACUGUCGGACUAGAGUACAGAAGGGGCAACUGGAAUUCUCGGUGUAGCGGUGAAAUGCGUAGAUAUCGAGAGGAACACCUGCGGCGAAGGCGGGUUGCUGGGCUGAUACUGAUGCUGAGGCGCGAAAGCCAGGGGAGCGAACGGG